UACGGGGGGGGCAAGCGUUGUUCGGAAUUACUGGGCGUAAAGCGCGCGUAGGCGGACCUGCAAGUCGGGGGUGAAAGCCCGAGGCUCAACCUCGGAACUGCCUUCGAUACUGCGGGUCUCGAGUCCGGGAGAGGUGAGUGGAAUUCCUAGUGUAGAGGUGAAAUUCGUAGAUAUUAGGAAGAACACCAGUGGCGAAGGCGGCUCACUGGCCCGGUACUGACGCUGAGGCGGCGAAAG
rnacentral:rRNA from 1 species